rnacentral:rRNA from 1 species
UACGUAGGGUGCAAGCGUUAUCCGGAUUCACUGGGUUUAAAGGGUGCGUAGGCGGACAGGUAAGUCAGUGGUGAAAUCUCCGAGCUUAACUCGGAAACUGCCUUUGAUACUCUCUGUCUUGAAUAUGGUGGAGGUAAGCGGAAUAUGUCAUGUAGCGGUGAAAUGCUUAGAGAUGACAUAGAACACCUAUUGCGAAGGCAGCUUACUACGCCUAUAUUGACGCUGAGGCACGAAAGCGUGGGGAGCAAACAGG